rnacentral:rRNA from 1 species
AGAGUUUGAUCCUGGCUCAGAUUGAACGCUGGCGGCAUGCCUUACACAUGCAAGUCGAACGGCAGCACGGGAGCUUGCUCCUGGUGGCGAGUGGCGAACGGGUGAGUAAUGCAUCGGAACGUGCCCUGAAGUGGGGGAUAACGUAGCGAAAGUUACGCUAAUACCGCAUAUUCUGUGAGCAGGAAAGCAGGGGAUCUUCGGACCUUGCGCUUUUGGAGCGGCCGAUGUCGGAUUAGCUAGUUGGUGGGGUAAAGGCCCACCAAGGCGACGAUCCGUAGCGGGUCUGAGAGGAUGAUCCGCCACACUGGAACUGAGACACGGUCCAGACUCCUACGGGAGGCAGCAGUGGGGAAUUUUGGACAAUGGGCGCAAGCCUGAUCCAGCCAUGCCGCGUGAGUGAAGAAGGCCUUCGGGUUGUAAAGCUCUUUCGGUGGGGAAGAAAUUGCUUGGGUUAAUACCCUGAGUAGAUGACGGUACCCGCAUAAGAAGCACCGGCUAACUACGUG